rnacentral:rRNA from 1 species
UACGGAGGGUGCGAGCGUUGUCCGGAAUCAUUGGGCGUAAAGGGCGCGUAGGUGGCCCGCUCAGCGUGCGGUGAAAGCUCGGGGCCCAACCCCGAGUCGGCCGUGCGAACUGGUGGGCUGGAGCACUGUAGAGGCAGGCGGAAUUCCGGGUGUAGCGGUGGAAUGCGUAGAGAUCCGGAAGAACACCGGUGGCGAAGGCGGCCUGCUGGGCAGUUGCUGACACUGAGGCGCGACAGCGUGGGGAGCAAACAGG